rnacentral:rRNA from 1 species
GACGGAGGAUGCAAGCGUUAUCCGGAAUGAUUGGGCGUAAAGCGUCCGCAGGUGGCAGUUCAAGUCUGGUGUCAAAGACCGGGGCUUAACUUCGGAAAGGCAGUGGAAACUGAACAGCUAGAGUAUGGUAGGGGCAGAGGGAAUUCCUGGUGUAGCGGUGAAAUGCGUAGAGAUCAGGAAGAACAUCGGUGGCGAAGGCGCUCUGCUGGACCAUAACUGACACUCAGGGACGAAAGCUAGGGGAGCGAAUGGG